GUCUCAGGCCGUAUCAGCCUGAAGGCGCCCGAUCUCGUCUGAUCUUGGAAGCUAAGCAGAGUCGGGCCUGGUUAGUAUCUUGGAUGGGAGACCACCUGGGAAUCCCGGGUGCUCGAGGCU
rnacentral:rRNA from 1 species